CGCCUUCAUGAAGCCGGAAUUGCUAGUAAUGGCAGGUCAGCAUACUGCCGUGAAUACGUUCCCGGGCCUUGUACACACCGCCCGUCACACCAUGAGAGUUGGGAAUACCCGAAGCCUGUGAGCUAACUUUUAGAGGCAGCAGUCGAAGGUAGAGCCAAUGAUUGGGGUGAAGUCGUAACAAGGUAGC
rnacentral:rRNA from 1 species